AGCCUAUUGAUUAUUAUAUAAUAGGUAUAUCCUGCCCAGUGAUUAAUUAAAUGGCCGCGGUAUCCUGACCGUGCAAAGGUAGCAUAAUCAUUCGCCUUCUAAUUAAAGGCUAGUAUGAACGGACAAACGAGAGCCCCCCUGUCUCUUUUAUACAUCUAAAAACUAACCUUCAGGUGAAGAGGCCUGAAUCUUCUUAAAAGACAAGAAGACCCUGUUGAGCUUCAUUCCUCUAGAACAAUCUCUAUACAAUCAACUUCUAAUCGAAUUUUGUUGGGGCAACAAAAGAGCAAACUAAAACUCUCUUAUAUCUAAGAUCCCAAAUCUUUUACAAGAUCCAAUAUUUGAUCUCAGGCAUUAGCUACCCCAGGGAUAACAGAUUAAUUUUUCUUAAGAGGCCAUAUCUACAGAAAAGUUUGACACCUCGAUGUUGGCUUAGGAUAACUUCUAAACGCAGCCGUUAAAGAAGUCGGUUUGUUCAACCCUUAAUUU
rnacentral:rRNA from 1 species